rnacentral:rRNA from 1 species
ACGGCAGCACGGGGGCAACCUGGUGGCGAGUGGCGAACGGGUGAGUAACACAUCGGAACGUGUCCUGUUGUGGGGGAUAACCCACCGAAAGGUGAGCUAAUACCGCAUAAGCUGGAGACAGGAAAGCAGGGGAUCGCAAGACCUUGCGCGAUUGGAGCGGCCGAUGUCCGAUUAGCUAGUUGGUGGGGUAAAGGCCUACCAAGGCGACGAUCGGUAGCUGGUCUGAGAGGAUGAUCAGCCACACUGGGACUGAGACACGGCCCAGACUCCUACGGGAGGCAGCAGUGGGGAAUUUUGGACAAUGGGGGCAACCCUGAUCCAGCCAUGCCGCGUGAGUGAAGAAGGCCUUCGGGUUGUAAAGCUCUUUCGGUGGGAACGAAACGGGUAGUGUUAAUACCACUGCCUACUG